GCAUCUCUUUCUUCUGACUUUCAUAGAGAAGUAAUCCCUCUUUCAUCUUAGCUGAUUUGUAUUCCUUGAGCAGUUAAGAGCUUGAAUGAGAACCGUCAAGAUUUUCCUUCUAUUGACUCGCAUUCCUGCCAUUUCUUCAAUGCGCACGUUAAUAACCUCAAAUUCUUAACACAACUAUUUCCACUAAUCUGCACCUGGCUUGCGAUUUGGCCAAUUUGUGAGUCAGUAUGCCGUAAACUGGAAUAAUGCACCGAAACUGCGCUUUAUAGACAUUAUCGCAAGGCAAGCUCCUUUGCAGCAAGAUUGGCCUCCACCUCAAGAGUUUUGAAGGAUUUUGCUUUCUUCUUGUCUAGCUGCACGCAGGUCAAUCUUAAGUUGUCUUCUAGUUCUUUGCUAUGAUCUCUCUGAUCCAUAUCCGCCGUGUUACAUUCAGAAGGCAGAUCAUAAUGAACAUUGGCAGCGUAAUUGCUUCGGUGGAAACUCAAGAUGUCCAUUCAAAAGGGCAUUCAGGGAACCGCCUUUUGCGGUUUUCGCAUUGAUGUUCCACUGAUUUUUGGAGCUGCUGGUGUCUUUGGGAGCUCCCACAUCAGGAUUGGUUGAAAUCUUCGAUGAUGAACUAGUCCAUUUCUGGAAGCACAGUCGAAGGCAACAGGGAGUAGCAGAGUUUUCCCCACAGCCCCUGGUCCCAAGCCAAGGCCCGCAGGUUCAAACAGGUGCACGCAGCAGGAGCAACAGUAGGGCCAUCGACUUGAACCAUGAUAUGUCCUACAAGGUCUCGGUUUAAGCUCGUCAAUGGACAAAGUAUAAUCUGCAUCUUGUAUUUCCUCUCUUGCUUUCAAAUUCUAUUCUUUUUAGGAGCUCAAAGAAUGGUCUACGUCGUUGUUUAUGAGCCUACAGAUACAUAAGCAAAGAUUAGUCACCAUGUGUGCAGUAUAGCCCUGGAAAUAUACAUUUCUUCAUUUGAUUUUA